rnacentral:rRNA from 1 species
UACGGAGGGUGCAGGCGUUAUCCGGAUUUAUUGGGUUUAAAGGGUGCGUAGGCGGGCUGAUAAGUCAGUGGUGAAAUCUCGUGGCUCAACCAUGAAAUUGCCAUUGAUACUGUCGGCCUUGAGUAUAGUUGAGGUAGGCGGAAUGUGUCAUGUAGCGGUGAAAUGCUUAGAUAUGACCCAGAACACCGAUUGCGUAGGCAGCCUGCUAAACUAUGACUGACGCUGAUGCACGAAAGCGUGGGGAUCGAACAGG